UCUAUUGUAGCCGAGAUUCCCCCACCAGAAUCCAGCAAGGAAGCAAGUAGUGUUAGAACACCAAGCAGUAAGGCUAAUGCAGACUUUACCACCUAUGGUUAAGACAGCUGGUUCGCCCUCUCUUUGUCCAAGAACAUUCUUUCAAUGGCUCACAGGACAGGAACACAUCAGACCAGUUCGUCUGUGGAUAUUUGUGCCCAUUCAAUAAAUAAGUAAAACAAA